rnacentral:rRNA from 1 species
CAACUCUGGUGCUAAUACAUGCGAAUUGUUUCUCCAGAUGUGAAUUAUGGAGGAAAAGUUGACCUCAUCAGAGGCACGCCAUUCGACUGAGUGACCUAUCAGCUUGUACUUAGGGUCUUUACCUAGGUAGGCUAUCACGGGUAACGGGCGGUUACCGUCGGACUGCCGGAGAAGGCGCCUGAGAGAUAGCGACUAUAUCCACGGGUAGCAGCAGGCGCGAAACUUUCCCACUCGAGACUUUCGGAGGAGGUAAUGACCAGUUCCAUUGGUGCCUUUUGGUACUGUGGAUAGGGGUACGGUUUUCCACCGUACCGAAACCUAGCAGAGGGCCAGUCUGGUGCCAGCAGCUGCGGUAAUUCCAGCUCUGCGAGUUUGCUCCCAUAUUGUUGCAGUUAAAACGCCCGUAGUCUGAAUUGGCCAGCAAUGGUCGUACGUAUUUUUACGUUCACUGUGAACAAAUCAGGACGCUUAGAGUAUGGCCACAUGAAUGACUCAGCGCAGUAUGAAGUCUUUGUUUUCUUCCGAAAACAAGCUCAAUGAGAGCCAUCGGGGGUAGAUCUAUCUCAUGACGAGUGGUGGAAUACUUUGACUCAUGAGAGAGAAGCUGAGGCGAAGGCGUCUACCUAGAGGGUUUCUGUCGAUCAAGGGCGAGAGUAGGAGUAUCCAACAGGAUUAGAGACCCUGAGUAGUUCCUACCUUAAACGAUGCCGACGGGAGUUUUGUAAAAAAAGGGGUGUUU